AGAGGUGCACGUUAAAAUUCUCUCUUUCAUUCAUUAAUGUGAAUACAAGCUGCCUGAGAAAAUAGCUGGUGGGACCUCCCUUAAUGAAUAGUGGGGCUUUUCUAUGCUCUAGAGGCUUAAAAUUGGGUUUCAGCCCACUGAGGAUUUUUUUUUUUCCUUCUCCUUCUGUCUUCUUAACGCUGCAUGUUUGGUUAUAUUUCUAGGACUCACCUAGGCUGUGACCUGCCACAUCCAGUUCUAAUCGCUCAUAUGAUUAGAUCGGGGCCACCCACAGAUAGGCAGGAGGGGCUGCUGUCAGAGACUCCCAGAAGUUCAGGCUGAAACUCCCCCUAUGUCAACCUCAGAGGCGAGAGCGCUGCCACGCUUAGAGCCACAGUGAAGAUCUCUGAUUGGCUGGUGCACAGUUAGAACAGAUGCUUGCUUGAGCCGAGCCGUGUGACCACCAGCCUAGGAGACUGCACUGCAAUCCUCUUGGAACUUCCUACGGGACCACCCAGAAGCUGCAGCUGGUGCUGAGGAUGGUGGCCGCC